GAUCAUGGCUCAGGAUGAACGCUAGCGACAGGCUUAACACAUGCAAGUCGAGGGGCAGCAUAAAAGUAGCAAUACUUGGUGGCGACCGGCGCACGGGUGAGUAACGCGUAUGCAACCUACCUAUCAGAGGGGAAUAACCCGGCGAAAGUCGGACUAAUACCGCAUAAAACAGGGGCACCGCAUGGUGAUAUUUGUUAAAGAAAUUCGCUGAUAGAUGGGCAUGCGUUCCAUUAGGUAGUUGGUGAGGUAACGGCUCACCAAGCCGACGAUGGAUAGGGGAACUGAGAGGUUGGUCCCCCACACUGGUACUGAGACACGGACCAGACUCCUACGGGAGGCAGCAGUGAGGAAUAUUGGUCAAUGGGCGGGAGCCUGAACCAGCCAAGUCGCGUGAAGGAAGAAGGAUCUAUGGUUCGUAAACUUCUUUUGCAGGGGAAUAAAGUGCAGGACGUGUCCUGUUUUGUAUGUACCCUGAGAAUAAGGAUCGGCUAACUCCGUGCCAGCAGCAGC
rnacentral:rRNA from 1 species